rnacentral:tRNA from 1 species
GGGCCCGUAGCUCAGUUGGUUAGAGCAGGCGACUCAUAAUCGCUUGGUCCCUGGUUCAAGUCCAGGCGGGCCCAC